GACGAACGCUGGCGGCGUGCUUAACACAUGCAAGUCGAACGGAAAGGCCCUGCUUGCAGGGUACUCGAGUGGCGAACGGGUGAGUAACACGUGGGUGAUCUGCCCUGCACUUCGGGAUAAGCUUGGGAAACUGGGUCUAAUACCGGAUAGGAGCCAUCUUUAGUGUGGUGGUUGGAAAGUUUUUUCGGUGUAGGAUGAGCUCGCGGCCUAUCAGCUUGUUGGUGGGGUAAUGGCCUACCAAGGCGGCGACGGGUAGCCGGCCUGAGAGGGUGUACGGCCACAUUGGGACUGAGAUACGGCCCAGACUCCUACGGGAGGCAGCAGUGGGGAAUAUUGCACAAGGGGCGCAAGCCUGAUGCAGCGACGCCGCGGGGGGGAUGAAGGCCUUCGGGUUGAAAACUCCUUUCGCUAGGGACGAAGCUUUUUGUGACGGUACCUAGAGAAGAAGCACCGGCUAACUACGUG
rnacentral:rRNA from 1 species